AUCGCGGUUUCAUCGUGUGCGCAUAAAUGCACGGCAAUUAGUUUAUUUAAAACUGUCGAUAUGGCUAUGUCUAGUAUUUUAUUAAUACGAAAAGGUUUUUCAGUAAACGGUUUUAGAAGUUUAUGGACUUGUAGGGCAUUACUGGCAGAUCAAGCUGAAAAUGUUAAUGCACAACAAGCAAAUCAGGAACAUAGUAAGGAAAGUGAUGAGGAAUAUGAGAAGAAUAUCAAAUCAAAAAUUCUUGAUGCAUCUUUGAAGUAUGUUCAUGAUCUGGGAUGGAGCCAGCAGGCCAUCAGUGCUGGUGCUGAGUCUAUUGGAUAUCCUGGUGUAAUUCAUGGAUUGUUCCCUAAUCGAGGAGCAGAUUUGGUUCAGUAUUUUUACUUAACAUGUAACAAAGAGUUAAAUAAAAUUCUUAAAGAACAAUCUGAUGCUAUUGAAGAAUAUUCUACUAAGGAAAAAAAGACACUAGAAUUACAAGUACGCGAUGCUGUUGAGACAAGACUUAGAAUGGUGAUCCCAUAUAAGAAAACAUGGCCACAAGCUUUAGCACUCAUGGCACUCCCACCAAAUGCACCAAUGUCACUAGCUAAUUUACUUACAUUGGUAGAUGAUAUUUGCUAUUAUGCUGGUGAUAGAUCAGUUGAUAUAAAUUGGUAUACUAGAAGAAUAGUAUUAGCAGGUAUUUAUAAAACUACAGAGUUGUACAUGUUACAAGACAGUAGUGAGGAUCAUAAAAAAACUUGGAGUUUUUUGGAAAGGCGAAUAAAAGAUGCAACGCAAAUUCAUAAAAUUCUAACAACAACUUCUGACAUGACUUUACCAGAUCAAGCUUUGAAUCGCGCUUCGGAAGCAGCAAGUGCUGCUUUUGUUACGGCACGUAAUAUACUUGGACUGAAUUGGAAUAGGUAGAAGAAAAAGAAAUAAACUAUAGACUGUUUAAUAGGAAAAAGCACGAAGUAUUUUUCCGAGUUGCUAAAUGAAAAUAUACGUAAAAAACUUAUGAAAAGAUGGAUGACCAGGAUACUUAGGUCGUGAAUAACAGAAAACACCUGAUUGACUAUCAUUCA